AUCUUGCUGUUGUCAAUGUAGAUAACCAGCAUCCAAGGGGAUCAAGUAGUGCUCGUUGGUCACCGGCGUCUGCGGAUAACUGAGAUGGUUGACGAGGAUCCUUUAACUGUAAAAGUUGAUCAUCUGAAGGCAUGUUAUUACUCUUACUCAUCUUUCGUCUUUCCAGCCCUAUUUAUGGUUGAUGGAUGUCAAUGUACUAUUACUCUUAACUCACAAGCUGAGUCAUCAUAUUUGGUUCUACCUUAGUGUCUUGUGGGGCUGACUUUUGAUUACUGUUCUAGCUGAUUUUGAUUACCAUGUACCACCCAGUGUAACCAAUAUUCCAUGCCUUUUCAUUGAAGGACCAAUACUGCUAGUCCACUACUGUGUUUAGAAAUUGGAAGCAA